AAUGAACGUUGGCGGCGUGGAUUAGGCAUGCAAGUCGCGCGACAAGGAACCUUCGGGUUCUGGAGGAGCGGCAAACGGGGUAGUAAGGCAUCGGAACGUACCCUCUUGUUGGGAAUAGCCGCGGGAAACUGCGAGUAAUGCCCAAUAAUCCCUACGGGGCAAAGGUCCGCCGCAGGAGGAGCGGCCGAUGUGAUACCAGCUAGUUGGUGAGGUAAUGGCUCACCAAGGCUUAGACGUCUAGGGGGUGUGAGAGCAUGGGCCCCCACCACUGGACGUGAGAUACUGCCCACGANACCUACCGGGUGGGCUG
rnacentral:rRNA from 1 species